CACGUAGGGCGCGAGCGUUGUCCGGAAUUAUUGGGCGUAAAGAGCUCGUAGGCGGCCUGUUGCGUCCGCUGUGAAAGCCCGGGGCUUAACCCCGGGUCUGCAGUGGAUACGGGCAGGCUAGAGGUAGGUAGGGGAGAAUGGAAUUCCCGGUGUAGCGGUGAAAUGCGCAGAUAUCGGGAGGAACACCGGUGGCGAAGGCGGCUUACUGGUCCGGAACUGACGCUGAGGUGCGAAAGCGUGGGGAGCAAACAGG
rnacentral:rRNA from 1 species